rnacentral:rRNA from 1 species
UGCAAGUCGAACGCGAAAGUGGAGCAAUCCAUGAGUAGAGUGGCAAACGGGUGAGUAACACGUGGGUGACCUGCCUUCGAGUGGGGGAUAACGUCCCGAAAGGGACGCUAAUACCGCAUAACAUGCUGUCUUUUAAGAGAGAGACAUCAAAGCCGGGGACCGCAAGGCCUGGCGCUUGAAGAGGGGCCCGCGCCUGAUUAGCUAGUUGGUGGGGUAAUGGCUCACCAAGGCAACGAUCAGUAUCCGGCCUGAGAGGGCGGACGGACACACUGGGACUGAGACACGGCCCAGACUCCUACGGGAGGCAGCAGUGGGGAAUUGUUCGCAAUGGGCGCAAGCCUGACGACGCAACGCCGCGUGGAGGAUGAAGACCUUCGGGUCGUAAACUCCUUUCGAUCGAGACGAAUGGCCUCCGGGCUAACAUCCUGGAGGAGUGACGGUACCGAGAGAAGAAGCCCCGGCUAACUCCGUGCCAGCAGCCGCGGUAAUACGGGGGGGGCAAGCGUUGUUCGGAAUUACUGGGCGUAAAGGGCUCGUAGGCGGCCAACUAAGUCAUACGUGAAAUCCCUCGGCUUAACCGGGGAACUGCGUCUGAUACUGGAUGGCUUGAGUUCGGGAGAGGGAUGCGGAAUUCCAGGUGUAGCGGUGAAAUGCGUAGAUAUCUGGAGGAACACCGGUGGCGAAGGCGGCAUCCUGGACCGGUAUUGACGCUGAGGCGCGAAAGCCAGGGGAGCAAACGGGAUUAGAUACCCCGGUAGUCCUGGCCCUAAACGAUGAAUGCUUGGUGUGGCGGGUAUCGAUCCCUGCCGUGCCGAAGCUAACGCAUUAAGCAUUCCGCCUGGGGAGUACGGUCGCAAGGCUG